CACCCGUGCCUAUCAUGCCCUUGUUGCUUCGGCAGGUCGUCUGCUCUAGCCACCGGCGCCUGCUGGUGAGUACCUGCCGGAGGCCCUACCACGCGAGAAAUGUAUUGUCGGAUAAUGCAAAACCCUUUAAAACUUUCAACAACGGAUCUCUUGGUUCUGGCAUCGAUGAAGAACGCAGCGAAAUGCGAUAAGUAAUGUGAAUUGCAGAAUUCAGUGAAUCAUCGAAUCUUUGAACGCAUAUUGCGCCCCAUGGUAUUCCGUGGGGCAUGCCUGUCCGAGCGUCAUUGCUCCCCUCAAGCUCUGCUUGGUAUUGGGCCCUGCUAGUCAUAGCCAGCCCUAAAUCCAGUGGGCCCAGCCCCGAGGAACCUAGGUGUGGUUUAUCCUCCGCCUCAGGCCCUCGCGACCGGUGCCGAUAUAUCCCAAUCCCUCUGUGGUUGACCUCGGAUCAGGUAGGAAUACCCGCUGAACUUAAGCAUAUCAAUAAGCGGAGGAAAAGAAACCAACAGGGAUUGCCCUAGUAACGGCGAGUGAAGCGGCAACAGCUCAAAUUUGAAAUCUGGCUCUUUUGGGGCCCGAGUUGUAAUUUGUAGAAGAUGCUUUGGGCGUGGCAGCGGUCCAAGUUCCUUGGAACAGGACGUCGUAGAGGGUGAGAAUCCCGUACC
rnacentral:rRNA from 1 species